AAAAGAUAAAACGGGCUCAACAAAGCCUUAGUAGUGAAGGCAGAAGAAGAUGGAGGAUUUUGAGACCUGGGCUUGAUGACUUUAAGCUGCUCCAGAGCUUUCUCCAUGCUGACAGGGGACCCAUCUACUGCCACCCCGGUUUCCACCGGAGCCCAUCCAAGCAGCAGAGCUGCCACCAGCACGCAUUCUCUCUCCUGCUGCUGUGUGAAGAGGUGCCUUCUGCCAUGAUUGUAAGUUUCCUGAGGCCUCCUCAGCAACAUGGAACUGUAAGAAAAUUGAGGCCCAACAGGACUAGUUACCCUAUAUGCCUGAACAUAAAACAACCCAGAAUACAAUGUGAUCCUUCGAUAUCCAUAUGGGAAGACAUAUACAAUAAAAAUGACGACAAGAGCCUGACUUGAAAAUAUAUACUAAUAAAAAAAUAAAUUUUAAAAGUUAAAU
rnacentral:lncRNA from 10 species